GAUGUCCAGGGCUGCACGCGCGCUACACUGGAGGAAUCAGCGUGCUGUAACCAUUGCCGAAAGGUAUUGGUAACCCCUUGAAAAUCCUCCAUGAUCGGGAUCGGGAACUGCAAUUAUUUCCCUUGAACGAGGAAUUCCUAUGAAAGUGUGAAUCAUCAGCUCACGUUGAUUACGUCCCUGCCCUUUGUACACACCGCCCGUCGAUGCCCAGGAUGAGCCGUUUCGAGAAAAGCGGGGACUGCUGUUUCGAGACCUUUCGAGGUGGAGAUUCUUUGGUGGAAACCGCCUUGAUCGCAGUGGCUUGGACCGGGCAAAAGUCGUAACAAGGUUUCUGUAGGUGAACCCGCGGAAGGGUCAUUA
rnacentral:ncRNA from 1 species